AUUGAACGCUGGCGGCAGGCCUAACACAUGCAAGUCGAACGGUAGCACAGAGAGCUUGCUCUCGGGUGACGAGUGGCGGACGGGUGAGUAAUGUCUGGGAAACUGCCCGAUGGAGGGGGAUAACUACUGGAAACGGUAGCUAAUACCGCAUAACGUCGCAAGACCAAAGAGGGGGACCUUCGGGCCUCUUGCCAUCGGAUGUGCCCAGAUGGGAUUAGCUUGUAGGUGAGGUAACGGCUCACCUAGGCGACGAUCCCUAGCUGGUCUGAGAGGAUGACCAGCCACACUGGAACUGAGACACGGUCCAGACUCCUACGGGAGGCAGCAGUGGGGAAUAUUGCACAAUGGGCGCAAGCCUGAUGCAGCCAUGCCGCGUGUAUGAAGAAGGCCUUCGGGUUGUAAAGUACUUUCAGCGGGGAGGAAGGGAGUGAGGUUAAUAACCUCAUUCAUUGACGUUACCCGCAGAAGAAGCACCGGCUAACUCCGUGCCAGCCGCCGCGGUAAGAC
rnacentral:rRNA from 1 species